CGCCUCGGCCCCCGCGGAGGUGACAGGCCCGGUUGCGUGACUUGAGAUUUCACAAACUUCCACAAUAAAGCUGCCUCUAAAUGAAAUGAGAUCUGUGGCUCUUGUCCACCUAGUUACCUUU